UUUCCGUAGGUGAACCUGCGGAAGGAUCAUUAAUGAGUUGUCAUGGGGUUCGAUGCUGGCAGCCAAUUUUUGGAUGCAUGUGCUUGCCCUAACAAUCAUCUUCCAAACACCUGUGCACAUUUUCGAGGGAGUCUUGAGUUGGUUGCCGCUCUUGGGUGAUUUUCUCACAUUCCCUUAAAUCAUUAUACGCUAUUAACAAUGAUGAACGUGCUCUGUGCCGCAAGGCUAUUAAUAUAAUACAACUUUUAACAACGGAUCUCUUGGCUCUC
rnacentral:misc_RNA from 1 species